AUAAUUAUAAGUUAAGAAAACUAUAAACCUUCAAAGUUUAAAUUAUAAAAUUUUAUUAAUAUG
rnacentral:tRNA from 1 species